rnacentral:rRNA from 1 species
UACGGGGGGAGCAAGCGUUGUUCGGAUUUACUGGGCGUAAAGGGCGCGUAGGCGGCGCGACAAGUCACUUGUGAAAUCUCUGGGCUCAACCCAGAACGGUCAAGUGAUACUGUCGUGCUAGAGUGCGGAAGGGGCAACUGGAAUUCUUGGUGUAGCGGUGAAAUGCGUAGAUAUCAAGAGGAACACCUGCGGCGAAGGCGGGUUGCUGGGCCGACACUGACGCUGAGGCGCGAAAGCUAGGGGAGCGAACAGG